AGAAAACAGUUCAGCACUAAGUCACAUUGCUGUUAUGGCAAUUGUGAGAUGCAGUGUAUGGUGUAUCUUAAUUCUAGUAUGAGAAAUUAAUGAUUUAAGUCCUUCUUAAAUGAGGCCAUUUACCCAUAGAGGGUGCCAGGCCCGUAUAACAUUAAUGAUUACUAGAAGAUAUUACCUAAGAGUCGUGUUGCUUGAUAGUGCAGCACUAAGUGGGUGGUAAACUCCAUCUAAAACUAAAUAUAACCAUGAGACCGAUAGUAAACAAGUACCGUGAGGGAAAGUUGAAAAGAACUCUGAAUAGAGAGUUAAAUAGUACGUGAAACUGCUUAGAGGUUAAGCCCGAUGAACCUGAAUAUCCAUUAUAAAGAAUUCAGCAUCAUGAUUUAUAGUAUUAAAUAUACUAUAAUAAUGGUGUGCAUUUUCUUUAUAUAAGGACAUUGUAAUCUAUUAACAUAUAAACACAAAUUUAUCAUACGAUCAAAUGCUUAUGUUUAUUUAAUUUAAUUUGCUUCGGCUUAUUAACAUUCAAAUAAAUGCUGUUUGAUUUGAUAAAGUGUUGAUAGAUCUAAAUAAAUAUGUAUAAUGCAAAAAUCUUAUAAGAUUUUAUAUAUAUAUAUAUAAGCAUUUAUACGAUUAACAAUGCGAAAGAUUCAGGAUACCUUCGGGACCCGUCUUGAAACACGGACCAAGGAGUCUAACAUAUGUGCAAGCUUUUGGGUAAGAGGUUAUGGCAAAAACCCUUAAGCAUAAUUAACUUAACUAUUUUAAUGGGAUUAAUUUUGCAAUUAUAUUGCUUAAUUCAAUCCCAGGGCGUUCUAUAGUUAUGUAUAAUAAUAUUUUUUAAAUGUUAUUUAUACCUCUAACAAGAGCGUACCUUGAGCAUAUAUGCUGUGACCCGAAAGAUGGUGAACUAUACUUGAUCAGGUUGAAGUCAGGGGAAACCCUGAUGGAAGACCGAAACAGUUCUGACGUGCAAAUCGAUUGUCAGAAUUGAGUAUAGGGGCGAAAGACCAA
rnacentral:rRNA from 1 species